GUCAUGUUAAUGUUGAGAUCCUAUCUAAGCCAUAUGUCAUGUUAAUGUUGAGAUCCUAUCUAAGCCAUAUGUCAGUCAGGUUAAUGUUGAGAUCCUAUCUAAGCCAUAUGUCAUUCAGGUUAAUGUUGAGAUCCUAUCUAAGCCAUAUGUCAUUCAUGUUAAUGUUGAGAUCCUAUCUAAAGCCAUAUGUCAGUCAGGUUAAUGUUGAGAUCCUAUCUAAGCCAUAUGUCAGUCAUGUUAAUGUUGAGACCCUAUCUAAGCCAUAUGUCAUGUUAAUGUUGAGAUCCUAUCUAAGCCAUAUGUCAGUCAUGUUAAUGUUGAGAUCCCAUCUAAAGCCAUAUGUCAGUCAGGUUAAUGUUGAGAUCCUAUCUAAAGCCAUAUAUCAGUCAUGUUAAUGUUGAGAUCCUAUCUAAG